rnacentral:lncRNA from 1 species
AUAUUUAUAUGAAAAUUAUUUGUAUGGUUUUUUUCCAAUAUUGAAAAAUUCCAAACAAAUAAUAUUCUGAUUUCCUUUCCCCUUAAUUUAAUUUAUAAAAAAAAAUCCUUUUUAGUUGACCUAUUUUUUUCAUUAUAAAACCAAACAAUUACACAUUAAGGGGGAGGAGAACAAAAAAAUUAACCAAAAGCCUCACAAAAUCCACAACUCUCCGUCUCUCACACGUACAGAGCCACCAACACCAAGAAAAGUCACAUGAAAGUUCCUAAAACCAAACCUUCAUCAUUUCUCUUCAUAAACCAUCUCCAAAACCAAAAGCCUCACAAAAUCCACAACUCUCCGUCUCUCACACGUACAGAGCCACCAACACCAAGAAAAGUCACAUGAAAGUUCCUAAAACCAAACCUUCAUCAUUUCUCUUCAUAAACCAUCUCCAUAGUUAACCUUCAACUCCUCAUCAACCAC